AAGGGCACCACAAGAACGCGUGGAGCAGGGGGCUUAAUUUGACUCAACGCGGGAAAUCUUACCGGGUCCGGACACACUGAGGAUUGACAGGCAAUAUCGAAUUCACUCAAACUUCAAGUUGUGAGUUCGUGUUAAAUAUGCUAGUCCUUUCAUGAUUAUGUGAUAGGUGGUGCAUGGCUGUUCUUAGCUCGUGGAGUGAUCUGUCUGCUUAAUUGCGUUUCACUAAGGUUCUACUUUCAUAUGUACGUUGUCAGCGCAUUGACCCCUCGUCAUUUCACGAUGACGCAGCGUGUGUCUUUGAAUUACGUCUGGCUCGUGCGAUUAGAACCUGAAAGCAACGAACGUGACCG
rnacentral:rRNA from 1 species